GUAGGGAAUAUUGGGCAAUGGAGGCAACUCUGACCCAGCCAUGCCGCGUGCAGGAUGACGGCCCUCUGGGUUGUAAACUGCUUUUAUACGGGAAGAAAAAAUACUACGUGUAGUAUACUGACGGUACCGUAAGAAUAAGGAUCGGCUAACUCCGUGCCAGCAGCCGCGGUAAUACGGAGGAUCCAAGCGUUGUCCGGAUUUAUUGGGUUUAAAGGGUGCGUAGGCGGAUCUUUAAGUCAGUGGUGAAAGCCUGCAGCUUAACUGUAGAAUUGCCAUUGAAACUGAAGAUCUUGAAUGUGGUUAAAGUAGGCGGAAUGUAUCAUGUAGCGGUGAAAUGCUUAGAUAUGAUACAGAACACCGAUAGCGAAGGCAGCUUGCUGAACCAUUAUUGACGCUGAGGCACGAAAGCGUGGGGAGCGAACAGGAUUAGAAACCCCGGUAGUCC
rnacentral:rRNA from 1 species